UAUCAAUACUCAUAAAUCCAUUAUUAACUACUUCUUUGCUAUCAUCAACAUCAUCAUAAAAAUAGUACUUAUACUUUAAAUUAUAAUUUAAAGAUAACGGCUUAAUUAAUAUAGACAUACUUAAUAUGAUAUUUCCAAUAAAGUUACUAAGUUUUAGCAAGGUUAUAUGGAAGUUGUACUAAAAAACUAUGUAUUAUUAAAUAGAUAACUCAUGAUAAAAAGAAAAGCCUACAUUUAUAUGUAUAUAAUUUUAGAUUAUAUAAGUUAUAAGAUUAUGAUUUACUAAGAUAUAAAAAAUGGUUAAUAAGAAACUUUUAAGAAAUGAUAUAAAAUUUGGAAUUUGUGUCAAUAAUUAUAAUAAAUAUGAUUAUUUGAGGUGUUCUAUGAAAAAUAAGAUAGGUUUAAAAAAAAGUGAGGAGUAUACCAAGGAGCAACUAGAUAUAAUUCAAUCCUUAGAGGAAACUAUAUCUGAGUUAGAAGCUGUAAGAAAAAUGUUUGAUGAUGUUAGUGAUCCUAAAUUAAUAGAAGUAGCUAUUUAUUCUGAACAAGCAUUAAAGGCAAAAUAUGAGUAUUUGCUCUUUCAAGCAAGGGGACUUAAUAUAAAGUUAGAUGAAGAAUUUAUAUACGUAAGAUCAAAAUGUAUUUUAUAGAUAAGGAUAAAGAUGUAUUUAGGGGAAGUAUAUGAGGAACUUAAGAUACAGAUAAAAAGCUAAGAGUUUAGAUAAAAUUGGAGCUUUUAGCUUUUUAAGAUUGCUUUAUAAUAUAAAUAUAAAAAAUCAUUAGUUUAAUGAAGAAAAUCAAUGUUUUUAAAAUUGUAAAAGGGGGGAUAGGGUAUGGAGAUGAUUAAAAUCUUUGUUUAGAAAGCUGAUUAAAGGCAAUUAUAUAGGAAUUUAAGUGCUUUUGAGAUUAAAUUAUUUUAUAAAUAAAAGUAUACAGUGCCUAGUGUAUCUAUAUGAAAAAAUAAGAGAAAAAGUUAGAUAUAUUGAUUAUAUAAAAUAUAAUUACUUAUAACAGGGUAUAAAAAGAAUAUGGAGUACUAGAAUAGAUGUUAUUCUAUAAAAGUUCCUUACGGCAAAGAAAAAACAAACACUUGCUUCUAGGAACAAAGUUUUAAAAGUUUAAAACAACAAUAAAAAAGUUGUUGACAACUAAUAAAACACAUGAUAAGAUAAAUGNUACUGGUAGAAGUCGUACCGAAAGGAGCGGUGGACGGUACAGAAGUGAGAAUGCUGGCAUAAGUAGCGAGAACUAGGUGAGAAUCCUAGUGGUCGAAAAUCUAAGGUUUCCUGAGGAAGGCUCGUCCGCUCAGGGUUAGUCGGGACCUAAGCCGAGGCCGAAAGGCGUAGGUGAUGGACAAUCGGUUGAUAUUCCGAUACCACUAUGUAGCGUUAUUACCGAAGGGGUGACGCAGGAGGAUAAGAUGUGCUAGCUAUUGGACGCUAGUCUAAGCGUUUAGGGAGUCUGGAUAGGCAAAUCCGUUCAGACAAUUCUGAGGCGUGAUGGGGAAGGCUCAUAGAGCCGAAGUAUCUGAUUCCACGCUGCCAAGAAAAGCCUCUAGGGAGCAAAGUAGUGCCCGUACCGCAAACCGACACAGGUAGAUGAGGAGAGAAUCCUAAGACCAUCGGAAGAAUUGCAGUUAAGGAACUCGGCAAAUUGACCCCGUAACUUCGGGAGAAGGGGUGCCUACGCAAGUAGGCCGCAGAGAAUAGGCCCAAGCAACUGUUUAGCAAAAACACAGGUCUCUGCUAAAGCGAAAGCUGAAGUAUAGGGGCUGACGCCUGCCCGGUGCUGGAAGGUUAAGGGGAAUGCUUAGCGCAAGCGAAGGCAUGAACUUAAGCCCCAGUAAACGGCGGCCGUAACUAUAACGGUCCUAAGGUAGCGAAAUUCCUUGUCAGGUAAGUUCUGACCCGCACGAAUGGCGUAAUGACUUGGGCACUGUCUCAACUGCAAAUCCGGCGAAAUUGUAGUGCAAGUGAAGAUGCUUGCUACCCGCGAUUGGACGGAAAGACCCCGUAGAGCUUUACUGUAGCUUAGCAUUGAGUUUCGGUAUUGUCUGUACAGGAUAGGUGGGAGACUGAGAAACUGGGGCGUCAGCCUCAGUGGAGUCAUCCUUGGGAUACCACCCUGACAGUACUGAGAUUCUAACGGACACCCAUGAAGCUGGGUGCCGGACAUUGUUAGGUGGGCAGUUUGACUGGGGCGGUCGCCUCCUAAAAAGUAACGGAGGCGCCCAAAGGUUCCCUCAGAACGGUCGGAAAUCGUUCGAAGAGUGCAAAGGCAGAAGGGAGCCUGACUGCGACACCCACAAGUGGAGCAGGGACGAAAGUCGGGCUUAGUGAUCCGGUGGUACCUCGUGGGAGGGCCAUCGCUCAACGGAUAAAAGCUACCUCGGGGAUAACAGGCUGAUCUCCCCCAAGAGUCCACAUCGACGGGGAGGUUUGGCACCUCGAUGUCGGCUCGUCGCAUCCUGGGGCUGGAGUAGGUCCCAAGGGUUGGGCUGUUCGCCCAUUAAAGCGGCACGCGAGCUGGGUUCAGAACGUCGUGAGACAGUUCGGUCCCUAUCCGUCGCGGGCGUAGGAAAUUUGAGAGGAGCUGUCCUUAGUACGAGAGGACCGGGAUGGACUGACCUCUGGUGUACCAGUUGUCACGCCAGUGGCACGGCUGGGUAGCUAUGUCGGGACGGGAUAAACGCUGAAAGCAUCUAAGCGUGAAGCCCACCUCAAGAUGAGAUUUCCCAUAGCGUAAGCUAGUAAGACCCCUUGAAGAACACAAGGUUGAUAGGUUAGAGGUGUAAGUGCAGCAAUGUAUUUAGCUGACUGAUACUAAUAGGUCGAGGGCUUGACCA
rnacentral:rRNA from 1 species